rnacentral:misc_RNA from 1 species
AUUUUCAGCUGCUUCGGUGGACGAUUUGCGUUCUGAGGUGACAACAUCUGCUUGGUUGAAUGAUCUAAGAAAUCAGAUUGAGCAUACUAGGAUUCUUAGUACUGUGUAUCGUUCUGCAUCAGCCCUGGGAUCUCGUCUUCCAUCUAUUGCCACUGCUAAAGCUAAGGUUGCAGGUGCUGGUGCAAUACUUCGGCCCGUUUCCAGUGGUACACAGGUUGUCAUGAAGAGAGCGCAAAGUAUGGCCCAGGCAGCAUUGUCACGACCUGCCAUGCAACUGUCGUCAUGGUCAUGCAUGGGUCCCAGACGUCGAUCCACGGCUAUUCAGGUUAAUUCUGAAGAACGGCAAAUCUCUCGUGGAACUUCUUCAGGCGAUAAUUCUGAAGCAUUCAUUGUGGAAUCCGAGACCAGAAGGACGAGCGUGAUGGAGCUUCCUGUAUCUUCUACUGAGGGAGUCUCGUGGAACGCGGAAAUUGAUCAAUCUUUUGCAGAUGGGAUUAAUAUCCAUAGUGGCCUGGAUUCUGAUCUUGAUGAUAGUGAACAUGUUACCCAUGGACCUGAAGACCGAAUGACGGAAGUUGAGAUGUGGCAACAACUAGAGCAUGAACUGUAUGAUCAGUCUGAAGGGGAAACUGAUGUGGCGAAGGAGAUUAGGGAAGAAGAAGAAGCAGCCAUCGCAGAGACAGGUCAGAGCUCAAGUGAAAGCUCUGUUCCAAAGACGAAGGAGGUGCACAGAUUCUUUCCUCCUGGAAAGAUAAUGCAUAUAGUUACUCUUCUCUCUGAGGAAGUCGAUCAUGAAAGUGACAGCGAUACGUUGAGUGAGGACCAUAACCAACCCAAGGAUACAAAGGUUGGUAUCUUUCUCACUCCUAGAUCAUUGUACAGUAAAAUAAGGCUGUCACAAACUAUGAUCAGUGAUCAUUUCAUGCCGGUUUAUAGAAGGCAUAUAGAGAAACUAAUUAGGGAUCUCGAGAACAACGAUGCUUGUGAGUUGUGACAAUUCAAUGGAAUCUGAUUCUCAGUGUUAGUGAUGGGAUAUUGGUUUCGUAUGGCAUGAAAGAAAAAAGAAGUAUAAUUUACCUAAA